AAAGAAAGCGUAAUAGCUCACUGGUCGAGUCGGCCUGCGCGGAAGAUGUAACGGGGCUAAACCAUGCACCGAAGCUGCGGCAGCGACGCUGAUGCGUUGUUGGGUAGGGGAGCGUUCUGUAAGCCUGCGAAGGUGUGCUGUGAGGCAUGCUGGAGGUAUCAGAAGUGCGAAUGCUGACAUAAGUAACGAUAAAGCGGGUGAAAAGCCCGCUCGCCGGAAGACCAAGGGUUCCUGUCCAACGUUAAUCGGGGCAGG
rnacentral:rRNA from 1 species